GAUCGAUCGAUCGACAGCGAGCAGCGUCGGAGCAGCAGCAGCGUAUCUAUUUAUUUGGAAACUGAUAUCAUAUAAAGUAUGGGAUUUCUUAUUUGUUUUGAGGAUUCUCAACACUCCCAAGUAUGCCCUCAAGAUUAUCUUCUCUCUUUCUUCUCUCCCUCAUAUUAUAUGGAAAGAGAUCAGCAUAUCUAUUUGCCUGCUGUUUCUUCAAUAAAAUUCUCAUGAGUCAAGUACAACUUGGUAGUUCCCCUCUUUACAAGUUAGAUAGAAAGCUGGGCAAAGGGGGCUUUGGGCAAGUUUAUGUUGGAAGACGGGUGAUCGGUGGAUCAGGGCACACUGGCCCUGAUGCUGUUGAGGUUGCUUUGAAAUUUGAGCAUUGAAAUAAUAAAGGAUGCAGUUAUAACCCGCCUUAUGAGUGGCAAGUUUACAGCACUCUUAAUGGUUGUUAUGGAAUUCCUUUGGUCCAUUACAAAGGUCGCCUAGGAAACUAUUAUAUUCUUGUCAUGGAUAUGCUAGGCCCAAGUUUGUGGGAUGUUUGGAACACUAAUAACCAGAUGCUGUCUGAAGAGAUGGUUUCUUGUAUAGCAGUGAAGGCAAUAUCAAUCUUACAGCAGCUUCACUUUAAGGGGUACCUCACUCUCUCUCUCUCUCUCUCAUAUGUAUAUAUGCACAUGUAUUCUGAGCAUGCUCAUAGUUAAUUUUAUUUGGUGAUUGAUGGUAUAGGCACUACAAGUUAGUUUUUGCAUAAGUCUCAUCUGCAAUAUAUAUAUAUAUAUAUGUAUACAAAAUAGUCUCACUUGAAUGACAAAUCCAACACGAAUGUUUUGACAUUCUAUUUUACUAAUGUUUUGAAUUUCUUAGGUAACUUCACUGUUUUGUUGAAUUAUUGUUUCGUUUUCGUUUUUGUUUUUCGAUUACCUUUCUGUUUCGUUUUGAUUCGUCCUUUACUGUUUUUGCUGAUCUUGUACUGGAUUUGAAUUUUUGUAUCUUCACUGCGUCGAAAAUGAAUCGAUUUCCAAGGUUUGCAUCGAUCUUAUACCCUUUAAAUUAAGGGGAAAUUUCAAUUCAGUUGAAGUUUAUAAAUUUUAAUUAUUAAAGUCUUGAACUUUUUCAUGAAUAUGUAAUUAUUUUGUGAAAACUCCACUAAAUUGUAAUUUCCCCAAUUAAUUUUAAAUAGACAACAGAUAUAUGGAUCGAUAUAUGUCUAUAUAUGUAUUUAUGCAUCUAAGCUUUAUGAAAAGCUACCCAAUUUUGCUUUUGUGCUAGGAUGAGUUGAGUCAGUGUCUCCUCCAACACAACAUCGGCCUCUAUUACAGAACCAGGUUUCUUUCUAAAUUGGGAGCUUUGAGGAUCUUGGGUUGGUCUUCUCAUGGCACAUAUUGGUGGGCAUCAUUUCUCUGGAGGGUCUCUAUCAGAAUUGCUACAUUUUUUCAGGGCUGGACGCGCUAAUGGAAGACCUAUAUAUGAAUGGUGAAGUCUCUAAUAUCACUACAUCUGUGAGUACUAGAUAAUGUUUGAUAUUGCAUCAAUCAUUGUAUAGAUGUAUAGGUUUCAAUUUAUUUGAAUCCUUUAGCUAAAGUCAUGUUAUAAUACACAUUUUAUAUACCAUAUUUAAAUUUUAGUUUAAAUUAAUGUUAGUUAUAAAUAAUAAAUAGUUACAUCCUAUUAUGAUGUUUAAUUAUGUUUCAAAGUGAUGUGCAUUACAAUUCAUUGUGGUGGUUUUGAUUGCAAUCAAAAUGAUCUUCGGUUAUGGAUAUAAUUGAUGUUAAUCACGACUCAAUGUAACAGUGAUCAAUGUGGAAAAAGUGCUUAUAUCAUAUUUUUUAUUAUAUUUUGAUCUUUUUUUGUUUUUGUUUUUGUUUUUGUUUUUGUAAAAUAUUUUAUAAAACCUUUUUUUGAUACUUUUUGUCUUGUAAAUGUCUAUUGAUUGAAAAUUUUAUUUACAAACUAUUAUUUUGUUUAUUAUGAUCUUGAAUUUUUUUUAAUGCCUGUAUCUGUUUGGUAGUGUAGCAAGUGUCAUAAUUUUCUUACACAGUAAUUUCAGUCAAAUAUUAACCCUGAGGUUCUUUAACACAAGCAACCAUAAUUUACAUGCACGAACUCCAAAUUUGUAUAUUCACAUGACUCUAAUUAAAGCAAAGGAAACUCCAUAAAGCUCAACAUUUUUAAUUUUGUAUUUGAUUGAGAUGUUUAAUUAUCCAUGUGGGAUUUGAUGACUAACAAAAAAAAUGUUGUAUUUGAUGCUAUAGUAGUUAAAUUUUUAUGUUUUUUUGUAAUUAACAUU